AGCGAACGCUGGCGGCAGGCCUAACACAUGCAAGUCGAGCGGAGAUGAGGUGCUUGCACCUUAUCUUAGCGGCGGACGGGUGAGUAAUGCUUAGGAAUCUGCCUAUUAGUGGGGGACAACAUUCCGAAAGGAAUGCUAAUACCGCAUACGUCCUACGGGAGAAAGCAGGGGAUCUUCGGACCUUGCGCUAAUAGAUGAGCCUAAGUCGGAUUAGCUAGUUGGUGGCGUAAAGGCCUACCAAGGCGACGAUCUGGAGCGGGUCUGAGAGGAUGAUCCGCCACACUGGGAGUGAGACACGGCCCAGACUCCUACGGGAGGCAGCAGUGGGGAAUAUUGGACAAUGGGGGAAACCCUGAUCCAGCCAUGCCGCGUGUGUGAAGAAGGCCUUAUGGUUGUAAAGCACUUUAAGCGAGGAGGAGGCUACUGAGACUAAUACUCUUGGAUAGUGGACGUUACUCGCAGAAUAAGCACCGGCUAACUCUGUGCCAGCAGCCGCAGUAA
rnacentral:rRNA from 1 species